CUCACCAACUUACGAGGAGCUCGAGAAACAUAAUCCAGGACCAAAAUUAUCUUCAUGGAUUCAAAGGAACUGAAAGCCGAAUCCUGCAGAACUGAUGCACUGAAGUGAGAAAUACAGAGCUCUCCUGGGCAUGCAGAGCCUUGGGCUGCAGCCACGCCUUUCAUCCUCCCUCUGCCUCACUCUCCCACCUUCUCUGCCCGAAUUCUUCAACUAGAAGCACAUGAGAAACUCA
rnacentral:lncRNA from 1 species